UACGUAGGGUGCAAGCGUUAUCCGGAAUUAUUGGGCGUAAAGAGCUCGUAGGCGGUUUGUCGCGUCUGCUGUGAAAACCCGAGGCUCAACCUCGGGCUUGCAGUGGGUACGGGCAGACUAGAGUGCGGUAGGGGAGAAUGGAAUUCCUGGUGUAGCGGUGGAAUGCGCAGAUAUCAGGAGGAACACCGAUGGCGAAGGCAGGUCUCUGGGCAUUUACUGACGCUGAGGAGCGAAAGCAUGGGGAGCGAACAGG
rnacentral:rRNA from 1 species